CCUACGGGUGGCAGCAGUGAGGAAUAUUGGUCAAUGGACGGAAGUCUGAACCAGCCAUGCCGCGUGCAGGAAGACGGCUCUAUGAGUUGUAAACUGCUUUUGUACAAGGGUAAACCUGAAUACGUGUAUUCAGCUGAAAGUACUUUACGAAUAAGGAUCGGCUAACUCCGUUCCAGCAGCCGCGGUAAUACGGAGGAUCCAAGCGUUAGCCGGAUUUAUUGGGUUUAAAGGGUGCGUGGGUGGAUUGAUAAGUUAGAGGUGAAAUGUCCGAGCUUAACUCGGGAACUGCCUUGAAUACGGUUGAUCUAGAGAGUGGAUGCGGUAGGAGGAAUGGAUGGUGUAGGGGUGAAAUGCUUAGAGAUCAGAAAGAACACCGAUUGCGAAGGCAGCUUACCAAUCUAUAUCGGACGUGGAGGCACGAAAGCGUGGGGAGCAAACAGGAUUAGAUAACUAGUC
rnacentral:rRNA from 1 species